GUGAAUCAUCGAAUCUUUGAACGCACCUUGCGCUCUCUGGUAUUCCGGAGAGCAUGUCUGUUUGAGUGUCAUGAACUCUUCAACCUACCGGUUUCUAGUAAAUCGGAUUAGUGUUUGGAUUCUGAACGCCUGCUGGCCUUUAUUGGCGAAGCUCGUUCGUAAAUGAUUAGCAUCUCAUAUUCGAAAAUCGGAUUGACUCAGUGUAAUAGACUAUUCGCUGAGGACGCUCUUUCGGGAGUGGCCGAGUUUUGUAAAGUAGAAGCUUCUAAUUCUAUUAGUCAACUUUAGAUUAGACCUCAG
rnacentral:misc_RNA from 1 species